rnacentral:rRNA from 1 species
UACGUAUGGAGCAAGCGUUAUCCAGAUUUACUGGGUGUAAAGGGUGCGUAGGUGGCAGUGCAAGUCAGAUGUGAAAGGCCGGGGCUCAACCCCGGAGCUGCAUUUGAAACUGCUCGGCUAGAGUACAGGAGAGGCAGGCGGAAUUCCUAGUGUAGCGGUGAAAUGCGUAGAUAUUAGGAGGAACACCAGUGGCGAAGGCGGCCUGCUGGACUGUUACUGACACUGAGGCACGAAAGCGUGGGGAGCAAACAGG